rnacentral:rRNA from 1 species
ACGAACGCUGGCGGCAUGCCUAACACAUGCAAGUCGAACGAGACCUUCGGGUCUAGUGGCGCACGGGUGCGUAACGCGUGGGAACCUGCCCUUAGGUUCGGAAUAACUCCCCGAAAGGGGUGCUAAUACCGGAUAAUGUCUUCGGACCAAAGAUUUAUCGCCUUUGGAUGGGCCCGCGUUGGAUUAGCUAGUUGGUAGGGUAAAAGCCUACCAAGGCGACGAUCCAUAGCUGGUCUGAGAGGAUGAUCAGCCACACUGGGACUGAGACACGGCCCAGACUCCUACGGGAGGCAGCAGUGGGGAAUAUUGGACAAUGGGCGAAAGCCUGAUCCAGCAAUGCCGCGUGAGUGAUGAAGGCCUUAGGGUUGUAAAGCUCUUUUACCCGGGAUGAUAAUGACAGGACCGGGAGAAUAAGCUCCGGCUAACUCCGU